UACGUAGGGGGCUAGCGUUGUCCGGAAUCAUUGGGCGUAAAGAGCGCGCAGGCGGUCGUUCAAGUCGAGUGUGAAAGCCCCCGGCUCAACUGGGGAGGGUCAUUCGAUACUGAUCGACUCGAAGGCAGGAGAGGGAAGUGGAAUUCCCGGUGUAGUGGUGAAAUGCGUAGAUAUCGGGAGGAACACCCGUGGCGAAGGCGGCUCUCUGGGACGGUACUGACGCUGAGACGCGAAAGCGUGGGGAGCGAACAGG
rnacentral:rRNA from 1 species